GGGGUUGUGGCUCAGUGGUAGAGCCCUCAUCUAGCACAUAGGGGGCUCUGGGUUCGAUCCUCAGUACCACA
rnacentral:tRNA from 1 species